GACACAGAAUCCGAAGCAGGCUCCAGGCUCUGAGCUGUCAGCACAGAGCCUGACACGGGGCUCGAACCCAUGAAGCGUGAGAUCAUGACCUGAGCUGAAGUCAGACGCUCAACAGACUGAGCCACCCAGGCGCCCCUCUGUGGAUUUUUACAACGUCAAGAUCUACGCUGUGUCCCCGUAGAGGACCCGGACCAGCAGCCUCAGCCUCACCUGGAAUUUCUACAAAUGCAGAUCCUUGGGCCCCCACCCCCCACCCCUGCUGUGUCGGAGACUGGGGGCUGGGUGGCGCUCCAGGUGAUGCUGAUGCUCUAAAGUUCGAGAACCACCGAGCUGUAAGGUUUUAGACAUUCCAAGCUCUGUUCCACCCUUUUUACCAGCGAUAGUGCUAGUGACAGCUGUAACUGAUGGGUAUUGGGCAUUUUCUGGGUCCCACCCUGGGCACCUGCCAUGCAUUGUCCCAGGACAGCCUGUGAGGCAGUCGUGGCCAUGACCCUGUGUCACAGAGAGGCAAACUAGAAUGUGGCCAGCUCACACUGCUAGGGGUUAUCACCCAGGCACCCGGCUCUAGUCGCACAGCAUGAACUGCCAGACCACCCUGAGGCUCAGCAGGUGGUGACGACACGGUCAGAGUCCCACAGCUCAGGAGCUAGCUGGGGCCUGGAUGUCCAGCUCUGCCAAUCAUUCAUCUAGCAUUUCGACCAUGGUCAAAUAACUUCACUGGCCUCGGUUCUCCCAUCUAGAGAAACGGGACGAUAGCACCCACCACAGGGGAUGAUUUUGAGGACUCCACGAGGUAAUGAAGGGAACAGCGGGUAAUCAGGAGACAUGGGACAUGUGCCGGGGGCUCCCCUUUUUCUUGGGACUUGUAAAGAGAUGUAAUUGAUCUGUGCCUCAUUUUACCCAUGAACACCAAGGGAAGGAAGCCCUCUGGACCAAGGUCAAGUUGGGUGAAACGAGUGCUCUCAAAGGCCAUCUCUAGAAAGGGCACUGGGCUCCCAGGGCCCCUUGGGCAAGCCUCCGGGCUCCUGCUCACCUCCUGUGGCUCCCCAAGGCUGGAGAUGCAUGCCAGCGAGUUCAUCUGGGACUCCUCUGCUCUGGCCUAGAGAUGGCAAGAUGGCCAGUUGAGUCUACCCACCUCUGGGAGACACAACAGAGGGGCCCAGGAAGUCAGGGCUGAGGUGAAGGGCGAGGAGCCGCACACUGACCUCGUCAUGGCUACUGACCGAUAAGACCCGAUGAGGGGUUGGGCAUUGAGGACUGUGGCUGUGCAGGAUGCCUGGCAUGUAGCAGACACCCAUCACGGAAGCAUCUGGCCUCAGCCAACUCUUCUGCAGAGGCCUGGGGCCCCCAAGUCCUGGUCACAGAAGGAGCAUGGAGUUUGGGCUCAACCAGACUCACCUUCUCAUCGAAGGACAAACUCUGACAAGGGCUGGGCACGGGGGGAGCCCCACCUGCCCAACACAGGUUCCAGAAGGAGGCCUGUCUCGUGAUCCCCAAGGGCAGGCCCCUGAAUUGCUCUGACAAUGUCCAUGGGAGAAGGAACCGCCUUGUGAUUCACGAAGCAUUUCCAGCUCUGGGAUGGGGCUUCCAGACCACUGCUGCUAGAAAAAUGUCACUGGGAACACAGAUGCUAGAUCUGGGAGGAGCGGCUGGGCUGGGCUGGGGGCGGUGGGGGAGGAGGCUGAAGGCCUGGUGGAGAGAAUGCAAAUUGGCGUCAUGAAUUAUGCAUCAGCCCAAGCUUCUCACACGUUUGGGGCUGAAUGAAAUCAUGUUAGCCUGGAGAAGGGGGAGGGGAAGAUGGGACAAAGAUGAGCAGGGCCUGGCCCUGGGCAGUCAGAAGGGAUGUCUUGCUAGGUUUCUGGGGGGCCCCGGGAAGGUGCCUGGGCAGGAGCUGGAGGCGUCUUCCUGAGGUCAGCCUUUUUGCUGUGUGACCGCAGGCCAGUCUCUUACCCUUUCUGAUCAGUGCAUUUCCUUAUGGACAUAAUCUGAAUGAGAAC